UCGUCCCCGCCUUUCAGUACUCCGCUUCAGCCGGCCUAGUGCUCUUCCCCCAGCUCGCAGAGUCCAGCUCCAUCCCUAAGAACCCUGGCCCCACAAAGCUCUCCCAGAAUAACCCCAACCCUGCGCCCUGGGCUCUCCUCCUAGAUCUUGAGCCCUCCGGGAAUGGAGAGUUCUGUUUUGGCAAGAGCAAUCUAGAAGAUCAUAGAAAGUCUGGUCCAAAUGCUUCAUCUUACAUUUAAGGAAAGAGGUACAGAAAGGGUAGGACUUGCCUGUCACACAGCUCUGUGGAGGAAGUUGGAUUUUGGGGCACUUCCCCUCAUUCUAGCUAAGAGCCACUCUACCUGAAGGUAUGGUCCCUCUUCUCUUGCUUUUCCUCAGUUUUUCAAAGGACUGAAAGACAAAGGAGUCUGUGGAAACCUAGCUUCCCCUGGGUACCUGAGAUAUAUAAAUUCUCACCACCAUCACUUUUCAGGACCUUGCUCCGUUUACUUUUUCACAAUUGUAUAUUGAGCAUGUUAUUGUCUCAAGAAAUGUCUAUUUGUUAAAUCAGUAGUGUAUUUUUCUAGUUGUCAGUUUAUUUUUCUAGCUCCUCUCAUUUCUCCUCACCAAUGGAUGGCACACUCACUGAAAACAGCAUUGUAAUACCUGACUCACUGCAGAAAGAUGCUUGGAGAUCCAGUACUACACUGUACUCUUUGCUUUGGAGCCUUCGAUCUACUCAAGAUCAUUGAGAGUGUAUGCCACUUUGGCCUAAGGAUUAUUUUGAGCUGAAGACAAUUAGGAAGAAGCAAAUAGGUACAGGGUACUAGAAAAGCAUUCUGCCUUCCCUUUAUUUGCCAAAAAGCAGGAUAUAAGUUUGCAAAGAUGUACCUCCUGCCUGCUCUAUCAGGAAGGACAAAGAUUAAUCACCAGAGACAAUUGUAGACCCUUGUCAGCCUGGAGACAACACAAGAAGAAUCUACAUGAUAAACUUUAGUGUCUAGCCUUUAUCUGCAACUAGUCUCCCAUAAAUUUGUCUUCCCACAAUUUGCUGCCCCUAGAGACUCAAGGUCCUUUAUCUUGUCAUUUCUCUAAAAAAAUUUAUUGUUCCUUUGCUAACAUGCUGUUUUUUGGGGUUUUUUUUUUUUGAGAUAGAGUUUCUGUCACCUGGGAUGGAGUGCAGUGGUGUGAGCCCAAGUUCUAAACAAACGUUUGAAUUGCUCAUCUCUGAGUGUUCCCAUAUGUCACCUACAUGAACAAUACACAUGUUGAUAAACUUGCUUUACUUUUGUUUGUCUUUGGCCAGUCUAAUGCACCGGGCCCCAGCUGAAGAACCUAAGAUACAUCAAGGAAAAGAUUCUUCCUCCCCUACAAGAGCUUGGUUCCCUAUCAUAUUAUUUCUAAUACCUGUUAGAGCAUUCAAGGGAACCUGCGUAUCAGACAAGCCCUGGAAGUCUGUGGUUUUUAGCUCUCUUCUUCGUGUAGUGCUAAGCUGCUCUCAUGGGGAAGAUAUUCUAUGGGGUUAAAUUUCCCUCAUUCCUUUUUUCUAUUUCCAACCACCUACUGUGUCUCCAGAGAGCCUAAACAGGGUUUGCAGGAGCCUUCCAUGUCAGCCUGACUCCAGUCACACAAAAGGUAAGUGAUUUUAGAGCAAACUGACAACACAUCAGAGGCAGAGCUUGGUGUGAGCACCCUAGGCUCAGGAGUAAGAUACGGACUGGAAGGUGGUAUGAAACUAAAAGCUGAGGUGUUUGCCCCAGGUUAAAAGUCUGGAAUUAGAAAAAUGCUGGGACAGUGUUUGUCUUGAACAAGUUUUCUGCCCACGCCAGCUGUCCUUUCCAGGUUACCAAAUACCUUAAAGGGAAAGUUAGCUAUUUUGCCAUAGGCUUUAACCAUCUGAAAAAAUCUGCUUUUCUUUUGCCUGAUGUUGCACUGAAAAAAUUGUUCUUCCACUUACCCCUUCCACAUUUUCUCAAGAAUAAAAGAGUCUUCAGAAACGGAAAGUAAAACCCUAAAAACCAAAUCCUUCUCCCCAACUUGGCAUUGGUAUGUUACUUGGAUGUAUAAGAUCUGUGACCUCUGUCAUGCUGCCUAUGACUACAGUGGACUUAUUGGGAUGAAUUUUAAUAUUCUCUCCUUGCAUUCAAUAAUCUUGCACUGAUGAGCUAGGUUUUAUUGUCUCUAUCUUACAGGUAGGAAAACAAGUUCUCAGUAACCAGUGAAAAGGGAAGCUGAGAUCAAGUUCCAAACUGUUCAACUCUAAAGUCAGAUGGUCAGCACUUGCACUGUUCCCCACAGUAGAUCUUAUGCACCGAGAAGCAAGAAUUCUUAUAGUAAUUACAAAUAACAGUAACCUCUUAUGUUUCACAGGGCAUCAAAUCCAUUCGCUGAUUUAAUUUUCUCCUGCAUAACUAUUAGUAUCUUGCAUAUUAUACAAAAUAUUGGCUGAGUUAACAAAUAUCACUAAGGUUACCAUAUACAGUAUCAUCUCUUCCUAUCCUCAGUGGAAGAACGUAGCCUCAAGUUCCAGCUCUGGAUAAAUUUCUCCAUGUUUUAGCUUCCUGAGGUAGCAGUUACAAAAACCUGUCUCAAAGAGUCUUGCAGUGAAUUAAAUGAGAAAAAA